UGUGGGUCGUGUAUCUUCCUCACUCCUCUGGAAAGAUUAGUCGUGUGUGUCCAGGCAUUGUUAGUGAGUAUGUAAGUGUCAUGCGCAUGAAAGAAGUCGCCAGCUGCUGCUUUGUUGUGGCUUAUAUACCGGUUCCAGUUUUGGGACGCCGGAUUGUUGCUUGCGCACUGUUGCUUUGAACGCCUUCAGUUCGCUAUUGUCUGUACAUCGCUUGCCUUGGAGACGCAAGACCGUUGCCUCUUGUUCCGCUGCCACCUGGUGGUCGGUUGCCAGUAUAUUGAUUUGUGGUGUUCGACUGUUGCGUGUGUCUUGUUAAAUUGUGUGUGUGCGCGCGCGCGCCUUUG